CCAUCUUGGUUGUUCCCAGUUCCCCUCCAUGCUCCUCUCUCAGCACUUAUUUCUCCCCAGAGCAAUCAACAGCAGGAGUCUGUGACUUCACUUCAGCAGUCACAGUACAUUGCUUAAUUUCUUAACUCGAGCUGUUGAGACAGUUACACAUCCUCCUUUGCUGACAGUGCUAUGGGGUUGGCAACUUCCAGCCAAGGAAUGGAAAAGACAUUGGUGGGCUGCAAUAACUGAAAUUGCCACACAGAGUUUCUCUGGAAGUCAUUUGUCAGAGUGGUAAGUGAUUUAAAAGUCCUGGAAAAGUUCAUCCUCUACGACUUAAUAUGACUUUUCCAUCUCUAGCUUGUGGCUCUGAAGAAAGUGCAAAGGGUAUAAACAGUGCUCCCAAAUCCUUUCCAGUUGUCUUUUUUUUUAUUCCCAUUCACAGCAAAUAUUUUGGUAAAAAGACGAGCAGAAACAGAAGGAGAUGAAGCAAUAGCAGAGCUGUGCCUGCAAAAAUCCCAGGCAGCUCUUAGCCCUCCUUCGUCCUGAUGUUGAGCCCCAAAGCUGUGGUGAGGCCAGGAUGGAAGCAGGAGGAAAACGUAUUUUUCACCAUGUGUUUUGACUCUGCUCUGGGGCGUAGAUGACCUGUUGGUAAAAAUGCCUGUGUCCUGUCUCCACAACAGAUAUAUCAGUUGCAAAUUAUCUGCCCAGUUCUGCUAUUGUGAGUCAGGCCCAGUGGGAAUUAAUGGCACCGUAUGAUUGUUAUUGUUGGCAGUUGGCCUCCAAAGCAAGCUGGCUUCCCCACUGCGUUCUGCUGGGCCUCAAAGGCUGAUGUUGGGCAUAUUUCUAUUUGGGGCAGCCCGUUGUUUUGGGAGGAGGUCAGAGGGGUGAGGGGGCAGCCCCUGGACAGGGUAGUGAGCCCCCGGUGAGUGCCCACACUGGGUGGGUAGGCCACAGGGCAGAGCAUGCUUCCCAUUGCCACCACCAUGCCAUGUCAUGGUCCAGCGCCCCAUUACAUGCAGAGAGGGUCAGAAGGGGGGGAAGCAAAGCGAUUUGUAGUCAUGUUACAUUUCCUACUUCAAAACUUUGUUUUUACAACUAUUGGCCUUGCCUGCCCCAGGAGCUCUGGCCUACGCGGCGAACUGUGUUGUUUCAUUUCUGUCAGCAGCGGGUCUUUUCUCUUUGCUCCUGCAGGAAAGCUUUUGUUUCAUGCCUUUCCUCCCCUGCUGCACGCUGUGCUGGCCAGGCAAUGUGCCACGUGCUCAUAAGCCGGCUUUCCACUCCUCUCCCCUCUCAACAGCAGCCUCCCGCUCUGCUCACUGCACAAACACUUGCUUAGUGCUUUGGUCACAAAUGCCGGGGCCAUGUGUGACAAUAGUGCAUGGUGUGAUAAGAGGGUGGACACCUGGAUGAUGGCCAGUCCAAGCAUUAUGGCCCUCGCUCUUAUGCUGUUUGCUCUUGUGACAUAUUCUCCUUUUGAUUCUCAUGCCUGCAUGUUGAUCUAGGAGGGUGGCCAUCUGGGUUCCUGCCUCCACUGCUAGCUGCCACUUGGUCUCCACCUCCAGCUGACAACAAACUGAGACCCAUUUAAUCCUCAGUCCAAACAGGGGCACAGCCCACGAGCUUGUCCUAGGAAAAAGAAACAGCCUUUCAGCCUUCCAGCUCCAGCUAUUCUCCUCAGUCCUCAGUUGGCCUCACACUGGGGUUUGCUGCCAGGGUCCUGAGCUCCCGGGAAGCACUCACUGUAUGUCUGAAGCACAGCAUGGAUGCGAUACAGAUAUCUAUCUGCACUGACUGGAACCAAGCAAGAACUGCAACCUACAAAAGUAUAGCUCUAUCAGUGUGGCUUCCUGCCCAGGCUAAUUAGACCUGCCAAGAAGGGCUAAUUAGCUAGGCUCAGUGCCACACUGAUGUGACUACACUGCUUUCAAGAAGCAGAAAGUAUCAGGUGUAGCUUGCUCUAACAAGGAGAUCCAAG